AUUGAACGCUGGCGGCAGGCCUAACACAUGCAAGUCGAGCGGAUGAAGGGAGCUUGCUCCUGGAUUCAGCGGCGGACGGGUGAGUAAUGCCUAGGAAUCUGCCUGGUAGUUGGGGAUAACGUCCGGAAACGGGCGCUAAUACCGCAUACGUCCUGAGGUAGAAAGUGGGGGAUCUUCGGACCUCACGCUAUCAGAUGAGCCUAGGUCGGAUUAGCUAGUUGGUGGGGUAAAGGCCUACCAAGGCGACGAUCCGUAACUGGUCUGAGAGGAUGAUCAGUCACACUGGAACUGAGACACGGUCCAGACUCCUACGGGAGGCAGCAGUGGGGAAUAUUGGGCAAUGGGCGAAAGCCUGAUCCAGCCAUGCCGCGUGUGUGAAGAAGGUCUUCGGAUUGUAAAGCACUUUAAGUUGGGAGGAAGGGCAGUAAGUUAAUCCCUUGCUGUUUUGACGUUACCAACAGAAUAAGCACCGGCUAACUUCGUG
rnacentral:rRNA from 1 species